AUUGAACGCUGGCGGCAUGCCUUACACAUGCAAGUCGAACGGUAACGGGCCUUCGGGUGCCGACGAGUGGCGAACGGGUGAGUAAUGUAUCGGAACGUACCUUUCAGUGGGGGAUAACGUAGCGAAAGUUACGCUAAUACCGCAUAUUCUGUGAGCAGGAAAGCAGGGGAUCGCAAGACCUUGCGCUGAUUGAGCGGCCGAUAUCAGAUUAGCUAGUUGGUGAGGUAAAGGCUCACCAAGGCGACGAUCUGUAGCGGGUCUGAGAGGAUGAUCCGCCACACUGGAACUGGGACACGGUCCAGACUCCUACGGGAGGCAGCAGUGGGGAAUUUUGGACAAUGGGGGCAACCCUGAUCCAGCCAUGCCGCGUGAGUGAAGAAGGCCUUCGGGUUGUAAAGCUCUUUCGGCCGGGAAGAAAUCGCAUGGGUUAAUACCCUGUGCGGAUGACGGUACCGACAUAAGAAGCACCGGCUAACUACGUGCCAGCCGCCGCCGUAAUAC
rnacentral:rRNA from 1 species